AUUGAACGCUGGCGGCAGGCCUAACACAUGCAAGUCGAGCGGAGCGGCGGACGGGUGCGUAAUGCCUAGGAAUCUGCAUGGUAGUGGGGGAUAACGUCCGGAAACGGGAGCUAAUACCGCAUACUAUCAGAUGAGCCUAGGUGGGAUUAGCUUGGUGGUGGGGUAAAGGCAUACCAAGGCGACGAUCCGUAACUGGGCUGAGAGGAUGAUCAGUCACACUGGAACUGAGACACGGUCCAGACUCCUACGGGAGGCAGCAGUGGGGAAUAUUGGACAAUGGGCGAAAGCCUGAUCCAGCCAUGCCGCGUGUGUGAAGAAGGUCUUCGGAUUGUAAAGCACUUUAAGUUGGGAGGCGUGAGCAAAAGAAUAAGCACCGGCUAACUUCGUGCCAGCAGCCGCGGUAAUUG
rnacentral:rRNA from 1 species